rnacentral:lncRNA from 1 species
GAAAAAAUUAUGACGCUGAUGGAUUUCCAUAGCGAUACAAUUGAUUGAAUCAAUCGUAACUCUUUGUAAGACGGGGCACUGAUGUGCUCCAUACAAAGGUGCUGAAUGAUGCGAAUAUACUGUGCUCAAACUCAUAUAUGCAAAGUGGAACAAAACAGUCAAUAUUUAUCAUCUAAUAUCUCUGUGCACUCCAAAAGACUUUGGAUUGAUUGGGGAUAUUUGGAGUAACUCGAUAAUUCCUACCCAUUAUCAUAAUGGGUAUUUGUGAGUAAUAAUGUUUCUGCGUUAUAUAUCUAAUAAGUUCAACCCAUUAUGACAUAUGACAUUUUACAUUUGAUUCCAUGUGUUUGUCAUUUAAACAUUUGUUUUCUACCUGUACAGAUACAACUGCUCUGUGUGGAAUAUAUUUCAAAGUGUUACAUGUAUGUAACAUUAAUCAAUACUCAAUGAUAUCAGUAAUCUUUGAAUGACAUAUUUCUAUCAUCACUUGUUAUUUGUAAGAAUGUGACAAAAACUGGAAUUUUGCCACAUCAAUUUGUACUGAAUCAAAUAAAAGGGUACUCCAGAAAUAUUCAGUCAUUCCAUCUAUUCGUGAUUUAAAAGUAAAUGAAUUUAACAUAUCAGGUUUCGCAGGAAAUGUGAAUAAUUGAAUUUUUUUACUUCAUGUUAUGUAUUAAAAGCAAGUUUUUUUUUCUUGAAAAUCUAAGAUUCAAUUUACAGUACUCCCAUGUAGCCCAUUCCAAAUAGCCAAAUAGUAGGUGAUUAUAAGUACAAGUACAGUAGGCCUAUAUUAUAGGGUAAUUAAAAUUCUAAGUGUCUCAGGUAAAACGUUUUAAUAUAUUUUUAUCAGUGAGUGUUGUAAUUAUGUUGGUUUAGGCUAUGAUUCCUCUGAAUGAUGAUUUUAAAUAUUUCUUAAUUUUUACUUGUAAAAAAAUGUACCUCGUAAGUGAUAUAUGCAAAUUAUGAACUGAAAUCAAUGAAGGGAAGUCAAUUUGAUGCAUGAUAAUCAUUAUAAAUCUACAAUGAUUUGGGGGAAGGGGAGGGGGUACUUCACCAUUUCAUCAUUUUUUCUUCUCUCCUUUAUUAAGUCCCUUUCUGUGGUUGGGGGUAACAGUAAGAUGUAUCUAUGUAUUGUGUAUUUGUCCUACAGUAUUAUACAUGUACUCAAAGGCCCAAAUUCACGAAGGUGGUUUUAAUUGUACCAUGGUGCAAACCCUGAACUCUGCAGAUUUUAUGUACAUAAUUACGCGUAUUUCAUCAUAAACACUAUUUUAAAGAAAAGUCCAAUUAUAGAUGCACCCUUUUUGGUAAAGGGUGCAAUGAUAUUCUUGAGUGAAGCAUGAUAAUACAAGAAAUUUGCAUAUUCCGUGGUGUUGUAACAUAGUACAAUUAAACCACCUUUGUGAAGUCGGGCCUUUGUGCAUUCAUUUUGUAUACCCAAUAAUGUCUUAAUGUACAUAUUCUUUGUUUGGUGUGGGCAUGGUUAUGUUUAAAUGUUUAUUGUUUAUGCAUUGCAACAAUUCACAGUGCUCAUCAGUAAUGCAAUGAAGACUCAAAAUUCUAGGUGUAUUUCCAAAAUCAUAUUUCAUUGAUAUUUUCAGUAAAAGGAAACACAGUAAAAUCAAUGUAAUUUUAUAAUAGCAUUACGUGCUGAAUUAUAUAAAAUGAAGAUUGAUGAAUAUAUAUUUCUGAAAUGUUUUUCCAUGUCAUUUUAAUGAAAUACUGCACUUCAAGAUUUCACGUAUAUGCUUUUGAAUGAAAUUACAAAAGAAAAUAAUGUUGGAAAAAAGUUAAUUAUUUUGUUUAAAUCAUCAUAUAUGACUAUUAAUUGGGUCCAUUACUGUUCAGUAUAUUUCAAUUUCCAAAAUGUAAUAUUCUGGUUUAAAGACUGAGUUUUAACAUGCUCAUGUUAUCUUGUCCAAAGCUAGAAUGUGUUUUAUAAUGUGCCAUUUCUAUCCCUGUGCUAUACGUAAAGCGGCUGAAGUAUGUACAAAA